CACGUAGUUAGCCGGUGCUUAUUCUUCCGGUACCGUCAUCCACGCCAGGUAUUAACCAGCGCGAUUUCUUUCCGGACAAAAGUGCUUUACAACCCGAAGGCCUUCUUCACACACGCGGCAUUGCUGGAUCGAGGGUUCGCCCCCAUUGUACCAAAACUUCCCCACUGCUGCCUCCCGUAGGAGUCUGGGCCGUGUCUCAGUCCCAGUGUGGCUGAUCGUCCUCUCAGACCAGCUACUGAUCGUCGCCUUGGUGGGCCUUUACCCCACCAACUAGCUAAUCAGACAUCGGCCGCUCCUGCUGCGUGAGGCCUUGCCGGUCCCCCACUUUCACCCUCAGGUCGUAUGCGGUAUUAGCUAAUCUUUCGACUAGUUACUCCCCCACAACAGGGUACGUUCCGAUGUAUUACUCACCCGUUCGCCACUCGCCGCCAGACCGAAGUCCGCGCUGCCGUUCGACUUGCAUGUGUAAGGCAUGCCGCCAGCGUUCAAUCUGACGCCAGGACUACAAACUCUACG
rnacentral:rRNA from 1 species